GUGAGGAAUAUUGGACAAUGGGCGCAAGCCUGAUCCAGCCAUGCCGCGUGCAGGAAGACGCAUCUAUGGUGUGUAAACUGCUUUUGUACGGGAAGAAACACUCCCUCGUGAGGGAGCUUGACGGUACCGUAAGAAUAAGGAUCGGCUAACUCCGUGCCAGCAGCCGCGGUAAUACGGAGGAUCCAAGCGUUAUCCGGAAUCAUUGGGGUUAAAGGGUCCGUAGGCGGUUUAAUAAGUCAGUGGUGAAAGCCCAUCGCUCAACGAUGGAACGGCCAUUGAUACUGUUAGACUUGAAUUACAAGGAAGUAACUAGAAUAUGUAGUGUAGCGGUGAAAUGCUUAGAUAUUACAUGGAAUACCAAUUGCGAAGGCAGGUUACUACUUGUGGAUUGACGCUGAUGGACGAAAGCGUGGGGAGCGAACAGGAUUAGAUACCCUGGUAGUCC
rnacentral:rRNA from 1 species